UGGGGAAUAUUGCACAAUGGGGGAAACCCUGAUGCAGCGACGCCGCGUGGAGGAAGAAGGUUUUCGGAUUGUAAACUCCUGUCUUCGGGGACGAUAAUGACGGUACCCGAGGAGGAAGCCACGGCUAACUACGUGCCAGCAGCCGCGGUAAAACGUAGGUGGCAAGCGUUGUCCGGAAUUACUGGGUGUAAAGGGAGCGCAGGCGGGUCGGCAAGUUGGAGGUGAAAGCUGUGGGCUCAACCCACAAACUGCCUUCAAAACUGCCGGUCUUGAGUGGUGUAGAGGUAGGCGGAAUUCCCGGUGUAGCGGUGGAAUGCGUAGAUAUCGGGAGGAACACCAGUGGCGAAGGCGGCCUACUGGGCACCAACUGACGCUGAGGCUCGAAAGUGUGGGUAGCAAACA
rnacentral:rRNA from 1 species